rnacentral:rRNA from 1 species
UUAAGCGACUAAGCGUACACGGUGGAUGCCCUGGCAGUCAGAGGCGAUGAAGGACGUGCUAAUCUGCGAUAAGCGUCGGUAAGGUGAUAUGAACCGUUAUAACCGGCGAUUUCCGAAUGGGGAAACCCAGUGUGAUUCGUCACACUAUCAUUAACUGAAUCCAUAGGUUAAUGAGGCGAACCGGGGGAACUGAAACAUCUAAGUACCCCGAGGAAAAGAAAUCAACCGAGAUUCCCCCAGUAGCGGCGAGCGAACGGGGAGGAGCCCAGAGCCUGAAUCAGUGUGUGUGUUAGUGGAAGCGUCUGGAAAGGCGCGCGAUACAGGGUGACAGCCCCGUACACAAAAAUGCACAUACUGUGAGCUCGAUGAGUAGGGCGGGACACGUGGUAUCCUGUCUGAAUAUGGGGGGACCAUCCUCCAAGGCUAAAUACUCCUGACUGACCGAUAGUGAACCAGUACCGUGAGGGAAAGGCGAAAAGAACCCCGGCGAGGGGAGUGAAAAAGAACCUGAAACCGUGUACGUACAAGCAGUGGGAGCCUCUUUAUGGGGUGACUGCGUACCUUUUGUAUAAUGGGUCAGCGACUUAUAUUCUGUAGCAAGGUUAACCGAAUAGGGGAGCCGAAGGGAAACCGAGUCUUAACUGGGCGUUAAGUUGCAGGGUAUAGACCCGAAACCCGGUGAUCUAGCCAUGGGCAGGUUGAAGGUUGGGUAACACUAACUGGAGGACCGAACCGACUAAUGUUGAAAAAUUAGCGGAUGACUUGUGGCUGGGGGUGAAAGGCCAAUCAAACCGGGAGAUAGCUGGUUCUCCCCGAAAGCUAUUUAGGUAGCGCCUCGUGAAUUCAUCUCCGGGGGUAGAGCACUGUUUCGGCAAGGGGGUCAUCCCGACUUACCAACCCGAUGCAAACUGCGAAUACCGGAGAAUGUUAUCACGGGAGACACACGGCGGGUGCUAACGUCCGUCGUGAAGAGGGAAACAACCCAGACCGCCAGCUAAGGUCCCAAAGUCAUGGUUAAGUGGGAAACGAUGUGGGAAGGCCCAGACAGCCAGGAUGUUGGCUUAGAAGCAGCCAUCAUUUAAAGAAAGCGUAAUAGCUCACUGGUCGAGUCGGCCUGCGCGGAAGAUGUAACGGGGCUAAACCAUGCACCGAAGCUGCGGCAGCGACACUAUGUGUUGUUGGGUAGGGGAGCGUUCUGUAAGCCUGUGAAGGUGUGCUGUGAGGCAUGCUGGAGGUAUCAGAAGUGCGAAUGCUGACAUAAGUAACGAUAAAGCGGGUGAAAAGCCCGCUCGCCGGAAGACCAAGGGUUCCUGUCCAACGUUAAUCGGGGCAGGGUGAGUCGACCCCUAAGGCGAGGCCGAAAGGCGUAGUCGAUGGGAAACAGGUUAAUAUUCCUGUACUUGGUGUUACUGCGAAGGGGGGACGGAGAAGGCUAUGUUGGCCGGGCGACGGUUGUCCCGGUUUAAGCGUGUAGGCUGGUUUUCCAGGCAAAUCCGGAAAAUCAAGGCUGAGGCGUGAUGACGAGGCACUACGGUGCUGAAGCAACAAAUGCCCUGCUUCCAGGAAAAGCCUCUAAGCAUCAGGUAACAUCAAAUCGUACCCCAAACCGACACAGGUGGUCAGGUAGAGAAUACCAAGGCGCUUGAGAGAACUCGGGUGAAGGAACUAGGCAAAAUGGUGCCGUAACUUCGGGAGAAGGCACGCUGAUAUGUAGGUGAAGUCCCUCGCGGAUGGAGCUGAAAUCAGUCGAAGAUACCAGCUGGCUGCAACUGUUUAUUAAAAACACAGCACUGUGCAAACACGAAAGUGGACGUAUACGGUGUGACGCCUGCCCGGUGCCGGAAGGUUAAUUGAUGGGGUUAGCGGUAACGCGAAGCUCUUGAUCGAAGCCCCGGUAAACGGCGGCCGUAACUAUAACGGUCCUAAGGUAGCGAAAUUCCUUGUCGGGUAAGUUCCGACCUGCACGAAUGGCGUAAUGAUGGCCAGGCUGUCUCCACCCGAGACUCAGUGAAAUUGAACUCGCUGUGAAGAUGCAGUGUACCCGCGGCAAGACGGAAAGACCCCGUGAACCUUUACUAUAGCUUGACACUGAACAUUGAGCCUUGAUGUGUAGGAUAGGUGGGAGGCUUUGAAGUGUGGACGCCAGUCUGCAUGGAGCCGACCUUGAAAUACCACCCUUUAAUGUUUGAUGUUCUAACGUUGGCCCCUAAUCGGGGUUGCGGACAGUGUCUGGUGGGUAGUUUGACUGGGGCGGUCUCCUCCUAAAGAGUAACGGAGGAGCACGAAGGUUGGCUAAUCCUGGUCGGACAUCAGGAGGUUAGUGCAAUGGCAUAAGCCAGCUUGACUGCGAGCGUGACGGCGCGAGCAGGUGCGAAAGCAGGUCAUAGUGAUCCGGUGGUUCUGAAUGGAAGGGCCAUCGCUCAACGGAUAAAAGGUACUCCGGGGAUAACAGGCUGAUACCGCCCAAGAGUUCAUAUCGACGGCGGUGUUUGGCACCUCGAUGUCGGCUCAUCACAUCCUGGGGCUGAAGUAGGUCCCAAGGGUAUGGCUGUUCGCCAUUUAAAGUGGUACGCGAGCUGGGUUUAGAACGUCGUGAGACAGUUCGGUCCCUAUCUGCCGUGGGCGCUGGAGAACUGAGGGGGGCUGCUCCUAGUACGAGAGGACCGGAGUGGACGCAUCACUGGUGUUCGGGUUGUCAUGCCAAUGGCACUGCCCGGUAGCUAAAUGCGGAAGAGAUAAGUGCUGAAAGCAUCUAAGCACGAAACUUGCCCCGAGAUGAGUUCUCCCUGACCCUUUAAGGGUCCUGAAGGAACGUUGAAGACGACGACGUUGAUAGGCCGGGUGUGUAAGCGCAGCGAUGCGUUGAGCUAACCGGUACUAAUGAACCGUGAGGCUUAACCUU